rnacentral:rRNA from 1 species
CCUACGGGUGGCAGCAGUAGGGAAUCUUCGGCAAUGGACGAAAGUCUGACCGAGCAACGCAGCGUGAGUGAAGAAGGUCUUCGGAUCGUAAAACUCUGUUGGUAGAGAAGAACGUUGGUGAGUGUGGAAAGCUCAUCAAGUGACGGUAACUACCCAGAAAGGGACGGCUAACUACGUGCCAGCAGCCGCGGUAAUACGUAGGUCCCGAGCGUUGUUCGGUGUUAUUGGGCGUAAAGCGAGCGCAGGUGGUUUAUUAAGUUUGGGGUAAAAGGCGGGGGCUCAACCAUUGAUUGCAUUUGAAAGUGGUAGUCUUGAGUACAGGAGAGGAGGGUGGAAUUCGUGGUGUAGCGGUGAAAUGCGUAGAUAUAUGGAAGAACACCGGUGGCGAAGGCGGCUCUCUGGCCUGUAACUGACACUGAGGCUCGAAAGCGUGGGUAGCAAACAGGAUUAGAUACCCGGGUAGUC